rnacentral:rRNA from 1 species
AAUUUUGGACAAUGGGGGAAACCCUGAUACAGCCAUCCCGCGUGUAUGAUGAAGGCCUUCGGGUUGUAAAGUACUUUUGGCAGAGAAGAAAAGGUAUCUCCUAAUACGAGAUACUGCUGACGGUUUCUGCAUAAUAAGCAGUGUCUAAUUAAGUUCCAUCAGACGCGGUAAUACGUAGGGUUCAAGCGUUAAUCGGAAUUACUGGGCGAAAGGCGUGUGUAGGCGGUUCGGAAAGAAAGAUGUGAAAUCCCAGGGCUCAACCUUGGAACUGCAUUUUUAACUGCCGAGCUAGAGUAUGUCAGAGGGGGGUAGAAUUCCACGUGUAGCAGUGAAAUGCGUAGAUAUGUGGAGGAAUACCGAUGGCGAAGGCAGCCCCCUGGGAUAAUACUGACGCUCAGACACGAAAGCGUGGGGAGCAAACAGG